rnacentral:rRNA from 1 species
CAAAUUGCUUCCACGCUAAGAACCAAAGAUUGUGUGGGUUGUAAGAGAUGUGAAUCUGCCUGCCCGACAUAUUUUUUAAGUGUCCGUGUUUAUUUAGGGUUUGAAACAACACAUAGCAUGGCUCUAUAUUAUUGA